CAGCUGCCUCAGUGACAUCGCCAUAGGAUGUCAUUUCCCUAAGAUUUGCUGUGGCACAGCUUUGCUCCACAAUUUUUCAUUCAUUGCCUUUAAAUAUUUAUAUUUAUUUACUUUGUGUGCUUUGGUGUUUUGCCUGCAUGUAUGUCUUUGUGAAGGGUUUAGAUCCUGGAGUUACAGACAGCUGUGAGCCUCCAUGUGGGUGCUGGGAAUUGAACCUGGGUUCUCUGGAAGAGCAGCCAAUGCCCUUGACCAUUGAGCCAUCCCUCCAGCUUCACCCUUUUUUGUUUGUUUGUUUUAUCCCUCACAAACUUCAUCAGAGUUUAGUCCUGUUUUACAGAUAAGACUCAAGAAAGUGGAUUCCCCAAGCUUGACCUGCCUGAUUCCAGAACCUACAUAAGCCCUCAAGCACCCCCCUAGGGAAACAAGCCAGCCCCCCCCCCAAAAAAAACCCCAAAGCUUCCCAGGCAACACUGAAAAGCCACCUGUCCUUCACCACCCUAGGAAUGUCCAGAGGUAGGCCACCCAGAGCUGGCAAGAAAUCACAGUGGGCUCAGGCAGAGUCUACUGUUCCCACAGCCCUAACCUCUUCUCCCGGGGCGGUUUCAUUCUAGUGUCUCAAAAAUGAGAGCCACUUAGGUUUUCAUGAGGAGUGGGCAGGCAGCAAGCCAGGGUGUCCUGGCACAUGAGAAGAGACUGAGCUCAGCUUGGCACACUGGCUGGGCACAGCCUGGCCAGCAUCACAGGACACGUGGGUGUGUCAGAGUAGCCAUAGUUGCUUUUGUUAGUUGGGAAUGACUGCAUUCAGAAGUGGGGAGGAAGGGCCCAGACCAAAUGAGUGAGGGAGCCCCGCAAACUCCCAGAGUUACAAAGCAGAGAUCUGCAGCUGAAGCUGGCAAAGAAGGCACACUGGGGGGUCUGGGUCGUCCCCCACCCCCACCCCAUAGCACGGCUCCCAGCCUGGGACUCUGUGUCCACCUGCCCCCGUGCAGUUCUCCUUAUCAUUCUGGGAACUCUCAGGGGUUGCAUUACUCCUGUGCUCGAGAACAGGUGAAUGGGACGUCCCACCCUUACGCUAGAAGAUCUGUGCCCAUCAGUGGCAUCCACGAACAUAUGACACAAUAGGACUCCGUUUCUCUCCAGGCAACCCCAGGAUCUGCCCUCACCUUCCAAAAGGGAGUGCAGAUUUUAGGGCCAUAGAAAGUUGGGUUGAAAAUGUCAAUGCCUUUCCUUUUAGGUGUGGGACUCUAAGCCUCCCUGGGCCUCACAUUCCUAGUCUCCUAACUGGUGGGAAGUUGUGGUAAAAGUGCCCAUGACAGGGCUGGAAGGAUGUUGCAGUGAAUACAUGCGUACUGCUCUUGGCCGAGGAUUCAAGUUUGGUUCCCAGCAUCCGCAGCAUCAGACAAGUCACAACCACCUAGAAUACAACUCCAGUCCCCGGAGGACCGGAUGCGUCUGGCCUGCGAGAGCACCGGCCUUCAUGUGCACAUAACCACACGCACACGAUUCCAAAACUGCUCUUAAAAAGGAAUACUACUGCUUCUCAAGUGCCUACUACACACCAGUAUAUUUCGUGGAUUAUUGCACUAAACCUUCAAAACUAUUCUGUGGGCCAGGAGGAACUGAAUUCAAUGUCCAGCACACACAAAAACAGAUCUAGGUAUGGCAGCACAUGCCUGUCAUCCAAGAACCAGGGAGGCAGACACACGGGGUCCCUGGAGCUUGCUGGCCAGGCAAUUGAGCAGAACUGGUUUCAGGUUGAGAAACCCUGUUUUAAGAACGAAAAGACCUUUGUCCUCCAUGCACAAUCGCAUGUGCACGUGCAUGUGCACACACACAAAUUGUGUGAGGUGGUGCUAUUAACUGCUCCCACCUGAUCGACAGACCACAGCUUGGGUUAAGUCGCAAGCUGCAGAGCUGGGACGUAGAUCCUGAACCCCGACCCUGUGGUUCUCUGUGUUGUCUGCUACUCGUGUGUGCUCCUGACUGGUGUGGCUAGAUAUCCACAACUGGGUGGCUCUCUACCCCUGCAGUGACAACCGGAAGUGCUGAGCUCAGCCCCCUGCGCGCCUGCCCUUUGAACCCGUGACAAGCUUUUCCUGGCCACCUCCCUGAAAGUCCUUACUCUUUCCCCAGGGCCCAGCUGUGGCCUAACAUCCUGUGGGUGUGUGUGGCUCACGCACGGCAAGGGCAGUUGGUUCCUGGCAGCCUGUGUGAUCUGCUGUGUCUGCCUUUGCCUCCUCUCAUGUGACCACUGUCUAGGCGCAGGAGAGCCCCGUUCCACUGGGUCAUCAUGGUGCUUCCCAGGAAGGCCUUUUCCUGGACGGCCCUUCUUACUCAUCUGCGGUGCUCAGGCCUUUAUCUCACUUUCUCAGAGACCAGACUCUGCCUCCCAGACCCAAAUGCAGUCAAAACUACCGUUCCCUUUGGACUUUAUUACCUCAACCCCAAGCUGUUUGAUUUUGGGGGGCAGAUUCACAAUGGCUCUGCGCACCGGCAUCUCCCUGCCCAGCACGGAACUCCCAUAUGUUAAAUGAGUGAAGGAAAUGGAAGCUUGCCUAGGCCCCAUGACCUAAGGGAGCCCAGAAGGCAAGACCUGUCCCCCCAUCCUAGCUUCCUGAACCAAUUCCCAGCAGAAACCAAACCAGAAGAACAGCCCGCUCAGCGCAGACCCAGCUCUCAGUUUGGCACCCUCCCCCCGCCCCCCCCGACUUGAGCAUCAAGGCUGCAGCCUGGGUUGCCAGUUUCUUUAGAAAAAAGACAGCGACAGUGGCUGGUGUCAUUAAGUCCCUAUGUCUCAAGCUUCACAAUAACCCUUGGAAAUAGCAUUUCUGUUUUCAUUAUACACUGGAGAAAGCUAAAUCUAAGAGAAGCCCUAUCUGCAAAGUUCUCUAGCAUGAAUCCAGUGACUGACGCCACAUGGUCAGGGCUGGCAUAUCUUAAUCCCAAACUUUUGCUCCUCUGAGACAUGCAGUCCAAGGCGAAAAUCUGCAUGAGGCCCUACCUAGUAGGCUACGUGUAUUCAAGCACACUGAGUUCUCUGAAUCCUGAAGGCUAUCUCCACCCUCACUGUCCCUUAGGGCACGGAUUAACUGGACAAGUAUUUACAGAAUUCCUACAGUGCACUAGACACUUGAGAAACAAAACGAAACAAAAAAACCCAGAGUCCGUUCUUACAGUCUAUGAUAGUAGAAAAUAGGCAAAUGUGUGUCCGAUUACAAAUAGCCAUAAUGCAAAGGAAAACGAGAGCAGACACCAAGUGAUAACAAGAGCAAUAGAAUUUAGACUAGGGUGAGGGAGUGGCCAGAGAUAAGAUUAUACAUUAAUGCAACAGGCUAAUUAGCCGGUUGGUUAGUCUGGACCAGAGAGGUAGUCAGGGCCUCCUGCCGGGGCUACAGAGAACCCGAACCCUAGCUUUCUGCGCAUUUUCCUUUCCCUGCGCGGUAGGGGAUUGUGAGGAGAGAAUGCUACGGCCAUUUUGCCAUUUUCUGAAGUAAAGAGCUCCUGAGAUUGGAGAUCCGGGUGACUCCAGAAUAAGGGCGACAGAAGUCAUACGUGACUUUUUAUUUUAUUUUUAUUUUUGGACGCUUUGGGCUAAAACAGGAAGGGUAGGGUCUUCCACGCCCUGAUGCAUUGGAGCAGCUGGCGUCUUGCCUCCCUCCCCAACCCAGAAUGUGGUGCUUUAUCGCCACCUGGUGGUUGUAGUGGACACUGCAUGGGGUGGCCGGACCCCGCCGCCUAGGGUAGGAUACAGAGCUCAGCUCUUUUGGCGCAGAGGCUAACAAACCCGCAGGAGGUUUGGGUGACUUCCCGGCAGGGGGCAGAGGUGGGGAGAGGGAGCGAGGGUGGUGCAUGGGGAACCGCUGCUUGAAAGUCAACUGACUGGGGACCGACAAUGGCUUCAUUGUGUCCGGGGCCUUGACCUUGAUUUCCUGCCACUCUCAUCCCUGGACUAUGGCAUCACCAGGGUCUGAUUGGCCAGGAAUCCUCAUUGGCGACAGUGGGCGGGCUGCAGGGUUGGACACUUGUCCUUGGGCUCCCCAAAGGCUAAGACAGUGCUGGCCCUGCGCCCCUCAGGAAACCCACGGGGCGGGGCAGCUUGUGGCGGGUGACUCUUGGGAGUCAGCUGGAGAUCCUUCGCCAGUAGGAGGCAGACACUGCAGAUCCUGUAAGGCAGUGAGGCCUAAGACCCGAGAUCUGCAGUUUGUGCCACCGGGCUCCAUCCAGCUUAGGUCUAGAAUUCUUGUGCACAGAGAGUAGCACCUCCAGUUUUGUUUUGUUUUGUUUGUUUGUUUGUUUGUUUUGUUUUGUUUUAAUUGCUCACACACAGUUACACAUUUCCAAUAUAAAAGGCUUUACACAAUGUAAUAAAAAACGAAAACUGCUGCCUUCAGUCAGCACGUCUCAGGUAGCUUAUUCCUUUACUGUGUACCCUUACUGAUCCCAUUCAAUGUAUUUAUACCCCAAUUUGUGCCUAUAAAAAUGUUUGGCCAGGGCAGAGCCUGGUGACACAGGCCUGGAAAGCCCAAUGAUGAUAGAAGGUUCAAGACCAACCAAGGCAUCUUAAGGAAACCCUGUUUCAAUGUUUCUCCUCCUCCUCCUCUUCCUCCUCCUCUUCCUCCUCCUCCUCCUCCUUCUCUUCCUCCUUUUCCUCCUCCUCCUCUUCCUCCUUCUCCUCCUCCUCCUCUUCCUCCUCUUCCUCCUCUUCCUCUUCCUCCUCUUCCUCCUCCUUCUCUUCCUUCUUCUUUUUAACCUAAAAAGAAGGCCAGUGAUAUAGCUGAAUGACAGAGCUUGCCUAGCCACGUGGUAAGCUCCUAGAUUCAAUGUAGCGCCACAAAAAGAAGGGAAAAAAAGACAGGAUGCUCAGUUGGAGGCAUAACCCAGCAGUGGAAAACUUGCCUAGCAUGUGCAAGGCUCAGGUUCAAUAGCUAGCAGCAUGGCCAUGUGCAUGCAUGCAUGAGCAUGCAUGCGUGCGCGCAUGCAUGUGUGAACACACACACAAACACACAUAUAUAUGUACACACACAUACACAUGUAUUAUUUUUAUGUUCUAAGACUGAAGAUGGGAAUGAGAGUAACGAGUAGAGAGGUUAUCUGGGAUAAUUAGCACAGUACUUGGCACACAGUGUCUUAAUUUUGUUCCUGUCUUUGGAUCCCAGACCCCAGCCACUCUCUCCUCCCUCCAUACACAGCCUGCUCAUCCCCCUAGUGAACCAGACUGAUAAAAAUCUGUGUCCCUAACGCCCGUGUUUUUGAAAAGCUAGAGAGAGCAGCUGGUGUUUUUGCAGCCUGUUCUCCCCCUUCCCUCUCGUAUUUGACCUAGAUGCGACAACUCACUGCGGAAAGAUCAUUCCUGUUCUGUGACAGAAGAAGAAAUGCUGAUGGCCCACAUGAUACUGUGGGUCUCCACGGCGACACUGCAUACAGAGCAGCCCCUGAAGAAUGCUGAAGGGAAGGCCAAGAGCUCUGAAAGAUCCCUGGAAGGGAGCCAAAAGCGCACUGCUUAACCUCUGUCCAACCCGUAUAGUGGCUAUCGCGCUCAGGGUGUGUGAGGAUAACAGAUCGAGGGGUGCCCGGAGGGAGCGGGCACUGAGACCACCCCUAACAAACAGUGAGCUUUGUUGUAUUGUAAAGUGAUGUAAUGUGUUUACAUCACACUUCAAGUAUGUAAAGGGAGUUACUAACGUCUUUCUUCUUCCUAAAAUAGUCAGGUCUUGCUUGUUGUGAUGGCGUACACCUAUAACCACAACACUUGGGAGGCUGAGGUAAGAGGACCGAAUUCUAGGACAACCUGUGCUAAAUAGUGAGGACCCUAUCUCAAAGAUACACACACGCACACACACAAGCACUCACACACCCACACACCUCUGUAGAAUGUAGAAAAAAAAAAGUGGUUUUGACCCAAGAGUCACUGAAGAAAGGAAAAUGACCUGGGGUUCCCCGGGGUCCCUGUUAGAACAUCUGUUGUUGUCACCUGUUGAAGCUGUUGCUGGUCCCCUAAAUGUCUUCCUUCCAGAGAUUACAGGACACCGAAGAAUGCUAUUCCAGAGGAUGCAGUGGGAAAUAUCCGGAACCUCACAGGAAUGACACAGGGCCAAACCCAGGUUCAGCAAGCACCCUUUGGCCACCUGCUGUGAGCCGAGGCAACCUCCACAGAGAUUCACAGCCAGCGGGUCCCGACAACACAGCAAUUUCAUUUGGGAAAAACGCUUGCUGUGAAUAUUGACUAAUAUUUUUCUGAGUUUACUAGGUGCCCACUGUUUUAAAAGACAUUAAACAAGACGAUCAGAUUCUUGCCUUCAAGCAACUUGUCUUUCAAUGACUUUUCUACAUAUGGUGUGUUCUCUACUUAUUAUUUUUUCUCUACUUAUUUUUUAAAGGCACAAUUUACGGGCAGUCACCCUUUUAAGGAUAUAGUCCUAUGAGCAUUGACAAAUGUGGCUGUGUAGCCAUCAUCAAAACCAAAAUAUAGCAGUACACUUCCGCUGCCUCUAUAACCUUUCUCUGUGCUUUGGCACUAAUCUACCCUUCAGCUCUAACCACUGCCUGCCUCUGCCCCCGUUUCUGUUCUUGUAGCUCCUCCUUCAAUCUGAAUGAAAUCUUAUAGUGGGUAGCCUUUUUAAAACAGGUGUGUGUGUGUGUGUGUGUGUGUGUGUGUGUGUGUGUGUGUGUAUGUAUGUGUGUGUGUGUGUGUGUGUGUAAGAGACAGACAGACAGACAGACAGAGACACACAGAGAGCCAGAGUGCACAUGUAGAGCACAUGCCUGUAGAAGACAGUUCUUUCUUUCAGGAGCUCCUUCCACAGCAGGUUCCAGGUGUCAAAUGCAGGUCAUCAGGCUUGUGGGACAAGUGCUUUUGUCCCCUGGGUCUUGCUGGCCCCAGUGUGUAGCUUUCUGUGUAGUUGUUUUGGUUUUUGUUUGUUUUUCUUGGUGCUGAGGGUUGACUCUGGCCCUUGUGCCAGCGAGGCCUGUGCUCCUCCACUGAGCUAUAGUCCUACCUACAGUGGCCACCACCGUUUUGAUUUGCUUUGGGGG
rnacentral:lncRNA from 1 species